GGGGGGGGUGGUUGGACCCACAGCGGGUUCAGGUGUGUGUAAGGGACUUACGGACCUAUAGUGGGGGGUGAGGGGCCGAGCGGCUAUAGUAACCUCAGGUGUGUGUUGGGGAGGGUGAUGGCUGUUGGAGUCUGCAGUGGUUUCAAGUAUGGGGAACGGUGUUAGGGCCCAUAUCAGGCUCAGGGGUGUGUGGAGGGGUGUUAGGGCCCAUAAUUAGUUCAGGGGUGGGUGAGUGUGCGUGUGUGUGUGUAUACAUUGUCAGGGUCUAUAGUGGUCUUAAGUGAGUGUGUGUAUGUGUGUGGGGGGGUGUUGGGGCCCACAACCAGCUCCUGUAUGAGGGGACAGUGUUUGGGCUCCAUAAAAAGGCAGCUCUGCAGCUUCUGUUACAGGUGUUGGGGGAGCCUUGAUAAGGGGCUGUGUGUCCUGUGGCGGGUCCCAGCAGGAAGAGGCUCCUAGUACCCAAAUAGGAGCAGCUGUGAUUUGGUAGCAAAGCCCCAAAGGAAAAGGAGUUGUAGCAGGGGGUGAGAACUCUGGGUUAGGAAUUGCUCAGAGCAGAGAGAGGGCAAGGUGAGUUCGUGCUGUUUCUCCCACACUUGGGGGUUCUCCACAGCUUCUGAACCUAAACACUUCAUAAUUGCAGAGGCUUAUGGUGGGGGGGGGGGAGUGGGGUGUUAAUUAUUUUUCUAAAUAAAACUGAAGGAGCAGAGCUUUAUCUGCCAGUACCUCGUGCAGCCUCAUUCUGCCAACUUGCUCCUGACAGCUGUUCCGCUUCUUGGGCUUCUAAAAACCAUCCUUAGAGAGCUGUGUGAAACCACAGGUACAGAAACCUGAGAGCCCUGAGUCCCAGGUGAGGGGUGUUGGUGUGUCCUGUGCCUCGGAGGCCAAGUGGAAAGAAGAGCACAGUGAGCACGACUCAUCUGUCAGCAGCUCUGUGAAAAGCUGAUGCUGACCAAGCAGGAGGCAGAGAUCUCUCCCCAAACUGAAUGUGUAUAAAGCACUGACUGAGUUGUGAUGAGAACAACAGCUCUGAUGGAAGCACGAGCCAAGAACAAGAGCUCGACAGAGAACUUUACACUUUCCCUGACAACUCCUUGGGGCGGAGACAGUUAAGUUUCUGCAUUUGUAAGGGAAACAUGGCAUUCCUUAAAGCUGAGCCUCCUCCCUCGGGUUCCCACUGAAUGCCUGAGAGAUGACAGCAGAGGGUGUUUCCAGCAGGCUCCUAUUAGACAGGAGGAAUUAGCAUGGAGGGAGCAACUGUGAGAUCCCAGUUUAGACCACAGAAUGAGCUAGAAAGCUUUGCAGCAGCAGCAGUUUGCCGGUUUUUUACCCACUGGAUACACACAGCUCCUGGUCAGGGUGUUCCUGUGCCCUCGUGUUGGUGCCUGCACCUGCCCGAUGUGUGAAGGGCUGUGCUGGGAGGCCAGAUCAGUUCCAAACAGAAAGAGCUGAGGCAGCAGUGAGGCAGGGCAGAUGAUCCUUGGGAGGGCAGCUGCGAUUCAGAGACACUUAAAACUGGUUUGGUAUCCCCAGCAGCACAAACCCGGCUGGCAGGGGAGCUGGUGAGCCGAGUACGUGGACAGAUGGAACAGAUACAGACAGGAAAUAGAGGAGAAAAGAGAAAUAUUAGUGUUUGUAAAACUCUGAGUGGGGUCUGAUUAGUUCUUGAAUCCUGCAACCCCAUUUUAUUUUUAGCUCAGUGACUGGAUGGCUUUGGGAAGUGAUUGGAGGAGCUCAAGCCAGAUGUGAGUCUGGGGAGAGGACAAACCCGUGGGCACCAAGCAGUUGAUGCGAUGCGGCACGCCCUUUCCUGUUCACCCCAUGGCCGCAGGCAGCCCUGCCAGCCACGCUGCCUGAGCGGGGAGAAGGGAAAAGGAGGGGUUUCCAAAAUGCUGAUAACCCACAGCAUGCCUUGGAAAAGGACAGGUGGUGAGCAGCUCUGGUGGUGUCUCUCUUCUGAGACAAAAACGCUCCCAGAAGUUCUGGGAGCUGCUUGGACGGGUGCCGACUUUUGGCCGUGCCUCAGCCUCGUCUCCUGUUAGAGGCAAUAUUGACUUAUGGAAAGAGGUACGGAGCAUACUUGGCGUGGGUGUUCCGAGUUAAAAAUUGUCAGUCUGGGCAAACAGACCUUUGGGGUGAACGGCAGGAAAGCCUAGUGGCUGCGCUGCGUUAUUACAGGUCCUUUCAGAACACGGUGUGACCUGGUGCUGCUCCGGGCGCUGAGCACCCGGCUCGGCGGGUUUGGAGAAGCGCUGCAGGUUUUGGAGCUCAGUGCUUCAGAUCAAACCCAUUUCCUUCCCCUCGGUGAGGUGUUUGUAAUGCCUCAGUGAGUCAGUAAGUUGUGCAUGUGAGGAAUGCACCUCACAGCUGAAGGUGAGCGAUUAGUGUGGCUGCGCUGGAGGUGAUGAGAUUAAUUAGUCCUUCCCAGGUGAAUUAGAGCUGCAGAAAUAAGAUACAUGAGCUAUUUAGUCUGAAAUACCAAUGUGAGGCAUUUUCAGAUGGAGUGGGAUCCUGCAUAUGACUCUCACCACAGGAUAUGUAUCUUGAUCGUUAUUUUUGUAGGAGUGUCUAGUCAGGAGGAUAAGCAGUACCCGGCAGAUGCGGGGCACGUGUUCUACAAAAGCUGCUGUUCACUGGCAGGAAGCAACUGAUUCACCUGGGUGAGAUCACAGUGCCGUGGCGGGGCUCUGCUGAGUAUGGAGGAACAGGGAAAUAAUUUGUCUAUUAAAAUAUAAUAAAAUUCGAAAGAGUA